UAGCUGUUGGAGUAACGGAUUCAGUGUUCUGUUCUUAGUGUGGAAAAUGUUUGCAUGUCUUUUGUUGUCGAAUCAUGGUACACUAACAGAACCGAUGUCUGUUGUUAUGGUAACGGGUCUGCUUAUAGCGUCGCUGACAGAGCGACAAAAAUAAGAAUAUGAGGGAUUUUGAGUACUUCGACUGUUUUCUGCGUUAUUUUUCCUUAUCUGUGGUGCACUGUGCUACGUUAAUAAUCCCCUCCCUCUCCAUGCUUCGUUUUGCUAAUGUAAUGGUUCUACCGCGGCAGCGGCGCCAUGUGGAUGGCAAGGCUCAAUGCUCCAGCGCGCUGGGCUGGAGCACAGUAUUGAGUAUAAAUUCAGAAUCUUAUUUGAAUCCAAAUGUCUUCCAGAUGCUCAAGUCUUGUGUAAAGUGCCCUCUGUAAAUAUCUACUGAGAAGUGUAGAUGGUGACGUAUGUUUUUCUUAAACAAUGCUAUACAAGUUUUUGUUUUUUGGAUGUAAUGUUAAUCUAAGAUGUCUAGGCACAUUUACUUGACUGUUCACUUCUGUAGCAGUGAUUGUUGGGCUCUUACAAGUGUUGAACAUUUGAAGCUCAUUACUUUGUGCUCUUUUUUUCAGAUAAACUCUUGAGUUUAAGAGAAUUACCACUUCAGUCAAAGUUCUUGUCUCAGCUGGAUCUCCAUUUUGACAACCUGAUGAAGAUGUUCAAAAGAAGAGGAGGACAGCUUGGACAAAUGCUAGGACAAGUUGUUGCACAAAUGGAGGAGUGUGAAGAUGUUGAUGCUGCAUGGGAGUGUCAUCAAGGAAGUCUGCAUGUAUAUGGGAGAAGAUCCAGCCAAGCUCAUCCAGGAGUAUGUGGGUGUGGAUGAAGCUACCAUUGAAGAGGCUAUUGGAACCACCACCACCCGCGUUUUUCAUCUGAAAGACUUCAUCACAUGAAGACAUCAGGAUCGUCCAUGGUGGAUAGUGUGCCUACAGCUGUUGUAAUACUUGUUGGACUGAUAUAUGGGCUGAACCUCGCCUACCCUGCUGGCCUUCGCUACACUUUUGAG